rnacentral:lncRNA from 1 species
AAAGAGGAGUCAUGGAAAGAUUUUAACAACGAGUGGUUGAAUUCAGACAAUACCAUCCCAAAGCAACUAUUGGAGAGGAUAUUCAACUUGACGAGGACGAUGGAAUUCAUGUACAACCAAGAGGACAAUUUCACAAACAGCACCAACCUAAAGGAUACCAUCCAUUCGUUGUUCGUGGAACCAUAUACAAAGCUUAUUUAGGAUUUGUUUGUUGGCAACCAACAAACAAAUUGUUGGCUCAAAUAAUAUAAUGUGGGAUUAGCUCAUCCUCUAGCACCCAUGCAUGUUCCAUUUGAUAUAGUAGGACUGAAAUUGCGCUUUACCAAAUGUUGAUUAUGCAGACCAACUAUUCUCUACUAUCACUAUCAGAGUUUCUUAUUUGACCACAUGUAUAAUUGGUUGCAAUUUAUGGCUAUUUACCCUUCUUUUUCAAAACAGAAUGCAAUCCCUGUUCUAUUUGUUGACUCGAUGAUGGAGAAGUAUGGACAAUCUCCCAGCAUGCUUGUUCAAAGAUGAAUCUGCUGAGGACAAGGGUACUGUUUAUGGGCCAGAUUGAUCAUAAUUGCUAAAAAAAAUUUACUAGUCAAAUCAUGUAAACAUUUAAGAGAAACAUACAUGCUACUCAAGAGGAAAGCCGUUAGAUGUCUAGCUAGCUAGACUGAAGCCAGUAAUCCCCUGUCUUGUCUGUAAAUACAGUGACUUCCUUUUGUUGUAGUAACAUAAGCUCAGCAACACUGUCCUUUUGCAGUGAAGCUGAUGUUAUGAGUGUUAGUUUGUAUGUGACAGUACAUCCUUUUGGACUAUCUCCCGUUCAUUUUCAUCCUUAUAUGUAGUUAUCUGACAUGAUCAUCAUGCAUCCACGUGGUCAAAGCUGUUGGUUUAUUUGGCUGCAAGCGCGAAAAAUCAGGGGACGGUGGUGACUAUGGAUUUUUAAUUUCUGCAACGUUAUCCUCCUCGAUCUUGUUCUGUACUGGCUGUUGUUAGGGGCACCUCGCGUGCCUCGUGCCUACAUUAUUGAGCCUUGGAGCAGGAAGCAUUUCUUGGCCCUGCAUGCACGCGCCCUCUGCACCAUAUUUUUUUUUUGCUGUCACACUUCAGCAGAAUUGCUAUCACAUCCUGCUUACGGCUCUAUAAAUACCUUACAACAAAAGCAUCCCGUAAUUCCUCCGCAGCUAGCGAUCGACCAGCAACCAAUAUGAGCUCCUCGACGGAACAAGUGCGGUGUGCCGGCGGCGGCAAGACGUCGUGACCGGAGGUGGUGGGGAUGAGCGUGGAGGAGGCCAAGAAGGUGAUCCUCAAGGACAAGCCCGACGCCGACAUCGUCGUGCUCCCCGUCGGCUCGCCGGUGACCUUGGAUCUUCGUCUCGACCGCGUCCGUAUCUUCGUCGACACCGUCGCCCAGACGCCCCAUGUUGGUUAGAGCUCGGUAGCCAUGGGUCUCUGCCUAUUGCCCAUGCCUACUAGUGGAAUAAAAUAAAAUAAUUCGCGAGAUGCCUAUGCAUCUUCGCUCUGUAUGUGCGACUUGUUACUGGAUCAAUGUGAAAUCGACUUGCGAUGUCGUUUUUCAUCGAUGCUGUAAUGAAUAAAAUGCUAAUUCCUUCUCUGAGGAUGAGAGUGAUGACAUAAAUGAUGGAUAUGUUGCUAUGCGUGUCAUGAUCAUCCAUGUGGUUGCUGUGCCCUGUGUGCGCAUGUGUGAGCAAAGCUACAAAGAUGGUGCCAUGGAAAGCUCGUGAAAACCAAAGACGAUGGCGAUGAGGAUUACCGGAGCUGACUGUGUUUUCAGUGUGUGCACUUGGCAUAUGUGAAAGGCUCGAUCUACUCCAUCAGCAAAAACAAGACACAAGACAAGUUUCAUAGACAAGUAAGUUCCCAAGUGUAUGCUUGAUCACUGUUGAUCGAUCUCUAGCCAACAACCGAUUCUUAUAUGUGUGCAUGCGUGCAGAUUGGCUGAGUAAUCCAUCGACGACGAUGAGCUCCGCCGUGGACACGACCGGCGGCGAGAAUAAGAAGACGUCGUGGCCGGAGGUGGUGGGCCUGCCCGUGAAGGAGGCGAAGGAGAUCAUUCUCAAGGACAUGCCCAGCGCUGACAUCGUCGUGCUGCCGGUUGGCACGUUUGUGACCCAGGAGUUGAACCCCAACCGUGUCCGCAUCUUCGUCGACACCGUUGCUCAAACCCCGAGAGUUGGAUGAUAGGCUUGUCCUGAUCUCCUCUUGUUGUUUACUGUGUGCAUAUGCUUCUUGAACCAUCAACAUCAUCAUCUUUGUUUUUUUUUUUGAGGAAUCGCCAUCUGCAAAAUACAAAUUACGCAGACGUGGCAUCGUUUUUGGCUCUGGAAUUUGAAGUGGUUUAGAUGCAAGCGGAAGCAAUAAAACAAGAAGGGUAAGGCUUCACAGCUACUCCUACAAACCAGCUGGGGGCCCCAAUGGCACCAGGGGCGGCAUCCUACUGUUGUGGAAUAGCACUCACGUCGGGCUCACUGACAUAGUUGUAGGACCAUACCAUAUAACAGCAAGGUAACAAUGCAUGAAACCGCAAACAUCUUCACACUCUCCCUGGUUUACGGUCCAACCGGAUCGAACGACAAGCCGCAAUUUCUAGCAGAACUACAAGCGCAAAAGCCUCCACAAGGCUCCCAAUGGCUAGUUCUAGGUGACUUCAACCUCAUCUACAAAGCGAGCGACAAAAAUAACAACAGACUAAACUUGAGGCUUAUGAACUUGUUCAAACAGGCACUUGAUGACAGUGACUUACGUGAGGUCCAUAUGCUAAAUAGAAGAUUCAUUUGGAGCAAUGAAAGACAAAAUCCAACCCUUGUUAGGCUCGAUAGAGUUUUUGCAAAUGCGGAAUGGGAAAAUGCCUUCAGUACUCACGUCCUGCAUACCCUAUCAACUUUCUUAUCCGACCACUGUCCUAUCUUGCUUUCCAACCAAAGUGACCCGAGACGCUCCAAAUCCUUCAAAUUCGAGAAUUUCUGGACAAGGCUUCCGAGAUUCAAGGAAACAGUAACCUAAGCGUGGAACAUGCAAUCACCGCACAUCGAGCCUUUCCAUAGACUCUAUGACAAACUACAUAUCACAACCGUUGCACUGAGGGAGUGGAGCAGCCGGCUCAUACCAGAUGCGAAAAUGCAGAUGCAUAUGGCCCUAGAAGUGAUACUGAGGUUGGACAUAGCGCAAGAACAUUGACAGCUUACGGAGGCCGAGCAGCUCCUGCGCAGCCAUCUCAAACUAAGGGCUACGGGACUAGCUGUCAUUGAAAGUGGACGUAAGAAUCAAGCAAGCAGGAUAACGAACCUUAAACUAGGAGAUGCUAAUACGCGUUUCUUUCAUCGGCGGAUCAACUCCAGGCGACGGAAAAAUUACACCCAGAAACUUAAAAAGGAGAUCGAAUGGGCGUGCACACAUGAUGAAAAAUCGGCUGAGAUCCAGAACUUUUUCAGAGCAACCAUGCAGCAGCCUCAGCCACGUGCCGCGGACUUCAAUUGGGACCUCUUCCACCUCAACCAUCAUGAUCUAUCCUCACCAGACUCACCGUACUCCGAAGAAGAAAUCAAACAAGCCAUCCACAGUAUGCCGAGUGAUAGAGCCCCAGGGCCAGAUGGAUUCACGGGUUUAUUCCAAAAAUCAUGCUGGGAUAUCAUCAAACAAGACGUAAUGGCAACGGUAAACACGUUCUACUAUCUCCGAUGCAACAACCUCCAACUAAUUAACACAGCUAAUAUAAUACUAAUUUCGAAGAAAGAGGGAGCGAACACCAUACAGGACUUCAGACCAAUAAGUGCCGUCCACUCAUUCAUCAAGAUCAUCACAAAAGCUCUGGCAAUUAGAUUACAACCACACAUGAACUCAAUUGUCUCCAAAUGCCAAAGUGCAUUCAUUAAGAGACGGUGUAUUCAUGACAACUUCAUGACAGUGCGAAACAUGACUAGAAGAUAUCGUAGAAACAAAGUGCAAGCUGUCUUCCUCAAAUUGGACAUUGCUAAAGCCUUCGACUCCAUCUGAUGGGAUUACCUAUUAUCGCUUCUGCGCCACUUGGGCUUCCCCACACGCUGGUCUGAUUGGAUUGCGGCCAUACUGUCCACUUCAUCCGCACACAUCCUACUAAAUGGCGUCCCAAAUCUGCCUAUAAAGCAUGGCAGAGGCUUACAGGAAGGUGAUCCACUGUCCCCGCUCCUCUUCGUCAUAGAGAUUGACCCACUACAAAGGCUAUUACAAUUGGCAACCGAUAUGGGAGUCCUUAGCAGACUAUGUGGAAGGGCACCGUCAUGCCGUAUUUCAAUGUAUGCAGACGAUGUGGCGAUGUUUAUAGUGCCAAGAAAAGUGGAAAUAGAUGUGUUAGUCAAUAUUUUGGAAAUGUUUGGAGAAGUAACAGGGCUCAAAACAAAUUUCCGCAAGUCAACAGCCGUCCCUAUCUGCUGUGAAGGUGUACAGUUGAGCGAGGUACUUGAAAAUCUACCGGUAAGGCGUGGCACCUUCCCGAUCGAAUAUCUAGGCCUACCACUGUCCGCAGUGCGCCUGAAGGCGGUCGACUUACAACCGCUAGUGGACAAGGUGGUUGGCAAGCUAAGCAGUUGGAGCGGAAGAAAUUUGACGCCAGCCGGGAGGCUCACAUUGGUUAAAUCCGUCCUAACCGCACAACCAGUUUAUCUACUGACGACUCUCAAAGCGCUGAAAGAAAUAAUGAAGACCAUUGAUGCUAAGCGGAAACAAUUCCUAUGGGCGGGGACGGAGUCAAUCACAGGCGGCAAAUGCAAGGUGAAUUGGACACGGUCGCAAGGCCUAGGAACGAGGGCAGACUCAGAGUAUUACACCUCAGAAUGUUUUCCAGAGCUUUACGUCUGCGUUGGCUUUGGCAGGACUGGAUGAAUGAAGGGUCGUCUUGGGAGGGACGCGAGAUACCUUGCUCCCAAGCUGUCCGCAAGCUUUUUGCUGCGGCGACCAUGAUUAUAAUUGGAGACGGCAAGAAAAUAUCAUUCUGGGACAAUGGUUGGGUAAGUGGACAAAGGCCAAGGAACAAAGCACCGAACUUGUUUCACAUGUCCAAAAGAAAGAACAAGAUGCUGUACGAUGCGGUGACGGGUGACACAUGGAUACAAGACUUAAACCUUCUACAUCGAGGGUUCACCAUGGCACAUUUCAUUGAGUACCAUCGAUUAUGGAUCGAGGUCAGCCGACUGCAGCUAAGACUGGGUCUCCCGGACACCAUCGCAUGGAAGUUCACGGCAGACGGGAAGUAAAGCUCACAGUCGGCCUACCGAUCACAAUUCAUAGGGUCCACGGCGGCUAAUUUCAAGAAUUUAAUUUGGAAAAUAGGACGCCUCCAAAGUGCAAGUUCUUUGGUUGGCUGGCUAUACAAGAUAGGAAAUGGAUAGCGGACCGACUACAACGUCAGGGAUGGACCAGUAACCCAAGGUGUGUGCUAUGCAACACGACGCAGGAGACUGGCUAUCAUCUUUUCGCCGACUGUAACUUUGCAAGAACACUCUGGAUCGAGAUGAGUACAUGGAUAAGGUGUCCGAACAUUGGCCCGAGCCGUUGGGACAGGCACGAUUCCUUGCAUAGUUGGCGGACAGCUUUACUGGCCGCCCCUAUGGUCGGCGGAAAAUAGUUGCGUAGUCUAAUUAUCCUCGUCCUUUGGGAAAUUUGGUCAGACAUAAAUCACAGGAUAUUCUGGCACAAGGAGCAGUCAGCUAAUCGGAUAGUCAAUUGCAUCAAAGACCAGACGGCAGUGUGGAUCAUGGCGGGAGCUAAACACUUACAAUAUUUCAUUUACGCGUCUUGAUUUUUGUGGUAGCCCUAGCGGAGUUUUUCUUUGCCGCUAUUGGGAUGCGAGUGUAUAGUUUGUACAGUAAUCGACCCGUCAAGCUUUCCUCUAUUUUUAUAUAGCAGCAGCUCUCCUGCUAGCUCGUUUAAAAAAAAAUAAGGGUAAGGUGGCGAGGAUGUUAAUUUUCACCAUCUUGUUGUAUAUUCGGUGAAGAGACCGUGAACGGGCCACCUCAUGUGCCUCAUGUCUGCUAGAAGCAAAGCAGGUAGGGAUCUGUCCUGUCCUUUUCCGUUCCAUCCUCGUGUGCCUCGUGCGUAUAUUAAAAACUGCAAGAUCACUUACCAAAAACAAAUACUGCUAGAGCACGUAGGCUUUCCUCAUUUGCACAAGAAAUCUAGACUGCACAAAUUUAGUCUCUUAGAUACCAGCAUCGUCAGUACUGUCAUGGAGACCUUAUCCUUCAAACCACAACGCCAAAGCACCAGUGCUCCUGGAUCACGGCUGCUCGGGCGAUGCCGGAGCAUUUCAGGGAGGUGGCGGCGAAGGCAGAAGUACACCACAUUGCAGCAAUGCCGCUGCCAAUCGCAGCAGGAUUCUUCCAUGGAGAGAGCACGGCAUCAUCCUGAUGAGGCAGACAGCCGCCUGAGCCGAAGCACCGGCAUUUUCCACCCAUCUAUAUGGCGUGAUUUCUUCCUUGGCUACUCUAACCCAGACAAUUCAUUUCAGCAACUACAGGUUUUUCUUAUUGAUCGAUCUCCUUCUCUGCUAUCAUUUUUUUUAAAUUAAUGAAGUGAUAUAUAGCUACAGAAUUUUCUAAUCAACUUGUUUGGGUAUAAUUUAUUUAGAAAAUAAUUAUAAAAGGUUAAUACAGAUACCAGUUAGUACUUGCCAUUAUGCUCAGGUUAAGUACUUAACCACCGUUUCAGCAGGCUUGGAUGGAUCGAGCAGAUAAACUCAAGGGAGAAGUGGCCCAAAUGAUCGUAGCAAGUUCAACUACUGGUGACCUGCAUGGGAGGCUGCUUCUCGUCGAUGUAUUGGAGCGCCUGUGCUUGGAUCACCUGUUCGAAGAAGAGAUCAAUGCUGAAUUAGCACAAAUUGAGGCUGCUGAUGUUAGAGACUGUGACCUUGGUACAGUGGCUCUCUGGUUUUAUCUACUUCGGAAACAUCGAUAUUGUGUUUCACCAGGUAAUUAAAUAACCAUUGGUGGAAUUUCAAACAAUUUCCUUCAACAUUUCGCAUACUGAACCGGUUAUCUAUACUGUUAAAAAAGGGAAAUAGUCUUUUUCAGCACUAAACUUCCUUCUAUACAUUGAAAGACUGAUAAUUGAAAAAUUUGAUGAUAUUUUUCCAGAUGUGUUUGUAAGGUUCAAAACUGUGGAGGGAGGUUUCUUAGGAAACAAUCCUAUAGACCUACUGAACCUCUACAAUGCUGCGCAUCUCAGGACCCAUGGGGAGAUAAUACUUGAUGAAGCCAUACUAUUCACAAGAAGGCAUUUAGAAAUGAUAUUGCCCUUUGUGGAAGGGCCAUUAGCACGUGAAAUAAAAUCCACACUUGAGAUCCCACUCCCUAGAAGGGUUAGAAUCUAUGAGUCAAAGUAUUAUAUCUCUAAAUAUGAGAAAGAUGCUACACUACAUGAUAAGGUACUGCAACUCGCAAAGUUAAAUUCAGAUAUUAUGCAGCUCCAUCACCAGCAAGAGUUGAGUAUCCUUACAAGGUGAAGUGUUGCAUGUUUUGUUAUUUGGAGUUCAAUUACAUAAUAACAUUUAAAUAACGAAUAUUUGACAUUACUAACUAAUAUGUAGACAAAAUUGCUAGAUUUCUGUAACUCUAGUGAAUUUCCAAAAUGAAGUUUACAAUAAUUGUUAUUCAUGCACAUACAGAUGGUGGGAGGAUAUAAAGAUGGAGUCGAUGAUCCCUUUUGCUCGAGAUAGAAUUGUGGAGUGCUUUUUGUGGAUCUUAGGGGUAUACUUUGAACCAUGUCAUUCACGGGCCCGAAUAAUAUUGACAAUGAUUAUUGCCAUUGUGACCCUUUUGGAUGAUAUUUACGAUUCUUACGGAUCACCAAAAGAAUGUGACAUACUUACCAAUUGCAUUGAAAGGUUUGUACCUCUCUCUUUGCUUACAAUUAAAUAUUCUAUCGUAGGUUCGGUUCAUAUUUGUCUUGACUGUGAAAUGCGGAAAGAACAAUAAGGAAAAUAAUAUGAUACUUUUAAGUAGGUAAGUUAUAUAGCUUUUAUUGAGGGGGAAAAAUCAGAUUUUUGCAUAUAUGAAGUUCGAAAUAGAGCACAUAGAUUGUUUCCUUGAGAGAACCAUAUUAUAAUGGUAACUAGUUCUGUAUUUGGGGUUAAUAUUUGGCUUAGUCAUAUGUAUGACUAUGAGUGGUCAUGCACAGAAAAGUUCCAUCUAGCUAGCUUUGAGUAAAUAUAACAAAGAAAAUUCAACCAGUGUGAUUGAUGAAUAAUUACACAGUUAAAUUAUAUUUAAAGUUACCAGUGUAGUGACGUUUUUCUACAUGUUGAUCAUAUAGACUUCAUAUGUUUGUCCGAAUCAUCAUUUCCAGAUGGGAUCCAAAGGCCGCUUAUGAUCUCCCAGAGUGUAUGAGAAUUGCUCUGGGGAAAAUAUUGGAUAGCUAUGAAGCCAUUGAAAAUAUGCUUCACCAAGAGGAGAAACAUCGCAUUUUGUAUCUAAGAUACUUUGUAAGUUACCUUCUGCAGCUACAUAUUUCAAUUUUUUGGCCUCCCUCUGAAUGAAUAUCCGGGAACCAAUAAAUGUGAAAAUUUUUCCCAACAUAUAUAGUUUACUACAAUUCGCAGACAGAAGAUCUUGUUAGAAGCUUCAACAUGGAGGUAAAAAUGCUCCAGGAAGGAUAUAUUCCAGAGUCUGUUGAAGAGCAUCUAAAGGUUUCACUACGAACCGGUGGAUGUCCCAUUUUGUCGUGUGCUUCCUUCGUUGGGAUGCAUGAUAUAGCGACAACUGAUUUCUUUAAUUGGGUUUCUAGUGUACCUAAAAUGGUCCAGGCACUUUCCAUUAUUCUCAGACUAGUAGAUGACCUCCAGUCAUAUGAGGUAAUAUAACAUAUCUCAUUUAUUAGAUUAUACUAUGAUAAUAUUUGAAGCCUGAUAACAAACUCAUAGUUCAAUUUUGAAUUUGCACCAUGAUUUUGGUGCUGAUCACAUAAUGUAGCUUUAUUAUUAUUGAUCAACGCUAAUUAGGAUGUUUCUUGACAUGUACUCUACCUUUCUCUUACCAAUAUAUCUGAAUAUUUAACUUCAUGUGUAGCGAGAGCAAUUGAUCCCUCAUGUUGCUUCGACAAUCGAUAGCUACAUGAAGGAGCACAAUGUCUCGAUUGAGAUGGCACGCGAGAAGAUACUCAUACUGAAAGAGGAGUCAUGGAAAGAUUUUAACAGCGAGUGGCUGAACCCCAACAAUGUCUACCCAAAGCAGCUAUUGGAGAGGAUAUUCAACUUGACGAGGACAAUGGAAUUCAUGUACAACCAAGAGGACAAUUUCACAAACUGCACCAACCUAAAGGAUACCAUCCAUUCGUUGUUCGCGGAAUCAUAUACAAAGCUUAUUUAGGAUUUGUUUGUUGGCAACCAACAAACAAAUUGUUGGCCCAAAUAAUAUAAUGUGGGAUUAGCUCAUCCUCCAGCACCCAUGCAUGUUCCAUUUG